rnacentral:snRNA from 1 species
GGUUGCAAGGUCAAUCUCAUGAUGACAUUGGUCUUCCCCAUUGAUUCUGGGGUUUAUCAGACUGAUCUGGCUGGAUGGGCAAGUGUCUCUUUUCUCCCUCUCUGCUUUACAUGCACACUCAAUAGAAAAGGACAACCUUCCCUGAGAGAAGUGUCCUGUUCUUUUUUCCAAGGGUAAAGGCAACAUCUUUAAUCUGAUGAGGGAAUGAAAUUUUUUUACCUGAUCAAAAAUAAAAUCAUUGUGUUAGUAUGUUAGUCCUUUAAAUGUAGGAAGACCAACGAAAAUUUGAAGCAUACAUGU